rnacentral:rRNA from 1 species
GUAGGUGGCAAGCGUUGUCCGGAAUUAUUGGGCGUAAAGCGCGCGCAGGCGGGGUCCCUUUAAAGUCUGAUGUGAAAGCCCACGGGCUCAACCGUGGAGGGUCAUUGGAAACUGGGGGACUUGAGUACAGAGGAGGAAAGCGGAAUUCCAAGUGUAGCGGUGAAAUGCGUAGAGAUUUGGAGGAACACCAGUGGCGAAGGCGGCUUUCUGGUCUGUAACUGACGCUGAGGCGCGAAAGCGUGGGGAGCAAACAGGAUUAGAUACCCUGGUAGUCCACGCCGUAAACGAUGAGUGCUAAGUGUUAGGGGGUUUCCGCCCCUUAGUGCUGCAGCUAACGCAUUAAGCACUCCGCCUGGGGAGUACGGCCGCAAAGGCUG